rnacentral:rRNA from 1 species
CAGCCGACGCGGGAAAACGUAGGGUGCGAGCGUUGUUCGGAAUUACUGGGCGUAAAGCGCACGUAGGCGGCUUGGUAAGUUAGAGGUGAAAGCCUGGAGCCCAACUCCAGAAUUGCCUUUAAGACUGCCGAGCUAGCAGGUGAGAGAGGUAAGUGGAAUUCCGAGUGUAGAGGUGAAAUUCGUAGAUAUUGGGAAGAACACCGGUGGCGAAGGCGGCAACCUGGCUCAUUACUGACGCUGAGGCGCGAAAGCGUGGGGAGCAAACAGGAUUAGAUACCCCAGUAGUCCCUGUCUCUUAUAC